GGCCUGACCGGGCCGGUCCGCGCCGAGACGGUCUCGGGCGCCGUCGAAGCCCAGGGCAUCACCGGGGAGCUGCGGUUCAACUCGGUCUCGGGCGAC
rnacentral:tRNA from 1 species